UUCCUUGUAUGUCUCCGGGAUUGGAUUCUUCUGAACCAUUUGCUCGGAUACGUCAUUGCCCACGAUCGUGCUCAGUUCUAUGCCGUCUUUGCGUUUCCUUUGAUGCUCGUGGAGCAUGCGACUAAACUUUCCCGUGCCGCUGCCCAAUUCAAACAUCGUGCCGGAAUAAUCGUAGUCGGCGAUUAGAAAUUCGUAGUUCGAGGCCAUCGUUCCCAAAUAACUUUCGUAGGUCGUCGAGAAGGAGUCGAAUACCUUGGCCACAGGAGCAGCCUUGAUCUUGUGCUUUCCCAGCUGCUGCAGUCUGCUGUUGAUCAUCACGUUCACAAGCGCGCGAUGACCGCCGGGAAACGUCUCGCGGAUCACGAUGUCCUCCCACUCGUGCUCCCAGCGGUAGAACACCGCCGGCCCCGCGUUGACCUCCAGGAUGAAGGGCUUACCGUCUGACGCUCGAACCCUAAUAUCCACAUUGCCCCAGCUGUUUCCUGCCAUUUGGUUGACGUGCCAGGCUCUCUCCGCCAGAUUGCGCAACAUGUCGAAGAGCGUCGGGUCUUUGCAACGCACCAGGAGCUCCUCACGCAUCUCCGGGUGGAACUUGAUGUCGAAAGUCAUGAAAUCAGCGCCGGCGUUGAUUGCGGGGCAUCGGUAGGUAGUCGGGUUUAGCGCCACGGGCGUGUUGCCCAUCUCGAUGAGAAUGACGGAGUAAUCGCGCCCAGGUAUGUACUCUUGGACGACAAUGUCAGUAUCACUACCGUCGAAAUGAGCAACUCCGUUGACAUUAGCACUGUCGUUAACGUGAUCACUUCCAUCGACAUGGGCGAUUCUAUUGCCGUUGACGCUCCCGUUAUCGUGAUCACUUCCGUUGACAUGGGCACUCCCGUUUCCGUCAGCGCUCCUAUUGCAGUGAUUGGCGAUGGUUGCGGCGGCUUCCUUUCGACCGGGAGCAAGAUACUCAUUGAUGCGGGCCAGCUGCUGAUCAAGUUCGCUUUGGUUCUUGCACACGGACCUUUCGUCGAUAAACAUUGACGCGCACAUCUUCGCCGGUUUCACAAACACCGGGAACUUCAUGUCAGCACCCCUUGCCGGCACUGGCAAUCCAGAUUUCUUGGCCGCGUUGUAGAAGUCGAGCUUCGAUCGUCUCAAGACCUUGCUCUGAUAACCCACAAUUGGAACUCCCAAAGACUCCAAGUAUUCAGUAGCCUCUAUACCCGCGACGGUAUCCUCGAGUUGGCCCCACAUGAAGUUGAGGAACAUGUCGAAGCCCUCGGCGACGGCAGCAUCGAUCUGGGCGUUGGCAGUGGCUUUGUUGAUGUAACGGUGAUGGAAUUCGUGUUGGGAGGUGAACAUGGCGGGGUCUGGAAAGCUGGGGUCAUUGAUGGCAAGGGCUUGGGUGGAGUCUGCGUAGGGAGCCUGGAGAACACAGAUCUUCAUGGCGAAUGGUUUGGUACUAAUUCCGCAGCUUGAUCAGAAAUCGCUGAGGAGGAAUACGCCCGUACGAAAGAAGCUGUGCUUGUUCUCGAAACCUGCAGAUGGCCAGGAAAGUCAACAGAAUGUCAUGCCUGCACAUGCAUAUUACAGUCACAUACAAGAGUAUAAAAACUCUCGAACGAACGAAAUUUGUUUUUCCAUGUAGCAGCAGUCUGGCUAGUACCGUGGGCAGAAGAAAACAUGAAAGGCACGAUGAUAACUAUUCACAUCGGAUGGGACGUGACCGUGAAAUCAGACCAGCGUUAGUAGCUCUUAUUACAAACACCUGAAAUUCAUGCACCGAGGAUUGAGUGUCCAGGACUAUGUGACCCCUGAAGCUGGUCUAUCACAACGUGAAUUGUAUCUUCGAAUUGCACCACCUUUGGAAAAUUAUGACCUAGACUCCCUGCACGAAGUAGACUCUGCGAGUAAACAAGAAUAAGACGCGGCUUCUGCAACAAGGAGGCCUUCAGACCUUACCGAAUAUGAAAUUGCGGCAUGCAGGAACGUCCGCCUCUAAAAGAGUAGAAUGGCUGCACGCAUGUCGAGAGGGAUGAGAACGUCAGGUUCCGGCUUAUUUAUCUCCCCCUCUCUCACAUGAACCUCGUGGGGACCUGGCACCAUUUCUUCGCGUCUUUCCAGGAUGGAUUGUCAGUGCCCUCUCAAGUACAAUUGCUGCAUUGACGUCAGGUUCAGUCGUACUUAUCUCCCCCUGUCUCACAUAGACCUCAUCAUUCCUUCACUUGGGCUGUUUUUAACAGAAGCAGCGAUCAUCGUGAAGUUGCUGUUUUCGAUAUUUUUCAGUUUGCUGAUUGAGUGGAGUGAUCUACAACGGAGAGAGAAAAGUAUCUUGAAGGGUAUAUAUUAUUAUAUUCUUAUAUCAUAUCAAGACAGAGUAGGUCAAGGUACUCUCUAUCACUAUCAAUAACAAAUGACCUUAUUCUCUAGAUAAAUCUAGUACAAGCGUUACAUCUCCUAUUCCACAAUAGUACAUAACACUGUCUUUUUGAAGGACUCAACUUGAAACUUUAAUUAAAAAUAAUAAGUUUGUGCAAAGUAAAAAAAAUCAGAAAUUAAAACAACAGUUCAAUAGAUUGGAAUACGUUGUAAAAACUAAAUUGUUAUUACUGGUGUAUCAAAAGAUAUAGAAGCCAUACAAUAAUAAUGAUUGAAAAAAUAAACUGAUGAAAAUGAAGAGGGAUUUAAUGCUGCCAUUGUAAAAUUUACUCGCAAUGUUAAAAGUUUUUGAUAUCUUUUCAUUCCACCUAUAAUGAUUCUUUAAUGAUUCUUGGACGUGAACAAUUUACAGAAGAUAAUUUAAAUAUAGAACAGAAAAUACAGAUAUUUUAGAAAUAAAUAAAUAAAAAACACAUUAACAUAAAAAAAUAAAAUGGAAUAAAAAUUUAAAGUCUCUCUCUCUUUCUCUAUAAAUAUAUAUGUAUAUAUAUAUAUAUAUAUAUAUAUAUAUAAGUAUGUAUAAAAUAUGUACUAUUUUAUUAAGAUACAAAUUUUUUAAAUAUUAAUACAUAUAAAUAUAUUUAUUUUUUAAUGAUAAUAUUAUUAUUAUUAAUUAUUUUUAUUGCUUCAUAAUAUUUAUUAAUCAAGAUAUAUGAAUUUCUAUCACGUUAAAUUUGAAAUACAAUGUUUAUGUUGAAAAUCAACAAGUACUUGCUUAAUUACAACUACAUAGAGAUUAAGCAUAUUAUUUUGCUAAUAGUCAAAACACAGCAAAGAAUUAAAGGAAGUUACUAUGGUAGCACCUAGGAUUUAGUUAGAUGAAGUAAAAAUGGAUAUAAUAUCAAAAGGAUGGAAGUGGCCUCGUUGCUUACCAAACCACCACCUAUAAGUAAAAGGUGUUGGAAGUAAGAAUUAUCUUACUCCACACUUUUGUUUGUAUGCAAACCUUGCUGAUACUAAGUGUUUGUAGCUUUUAGACUUCUUUUCUUCAAUAGGUUAUGGGCCCACUGACAUUUGCUUGAGUGUUUUGAAGUUCUUUGAAGUGGUUGUUGAUGUGUGGAGUAGAUCAAGUUGUUGUUGGUGAUGUUAGGAUUUAGAAGUACCUAACUUUUAGAUUCAGAUCUAGAUCUAGAUCUUAAUUUACUCUUACUUGUAGUUAAGAGCAUUUUAGUAUUGGUGUUUGGUUUUUCACCUUAAGGCAAAGUUAUACAAUACUUUUAUUGUGCUAUUGCUCAAAUAGAUCUUUGGUGGUGUAACUUUGUAGUUUCAUGUUCUAAAGAUGCUGAUUGUGCUUAAAAGGCCUCUUAUGGUGUAUAGAUAUAAUUUGUGAAUAUAAGAGUGAUAUUUGAGUGGCAAGUCAGAUUUGAGACAUUAAGAUAGGUCAUUAGACUUGUGAGAAGCCUUAGAAGUGAAGUUGAAAGUGUUUUUGAGAGUAAGAACACUAGUUUGUUUACAAAGAAGGAUUCUAUGAUUCUAAAGUAGCAAUAUUUUUUGCUGAUUUUGAGAGCAUUAGGACUUCUUCUUUUAAUUUUUUUUUGAUAAAUCUCUCGCUUCGAUAUGGCUUCAAGUGAAGGUAAAGGAUUGAGAGUUAUUGAGAAGUUUAGAGGUGAGAAUUUUUACCAUUGGAAGGUAAAAAUGGAGCUUUUGUUGGCGUCUUUAGAUCUUUAAGAUAUUGUAGAUCAAAGUGAAGAGGCUCUAAGCAUAGAUGCUUAUAUGAAAGAGAAGAAGAAAUUCAAAUGUCAUGAAAAGAAGGUUUUUGGAUUGAUUGCAACCAAUGUGGAUGAAGCUAACUUCUCUCACAUUAUUUCUUGCAAAGAAUUAGCGGAAGCAUGAAAGAUUCUUUGCAACAUCUAUGAGAGCAAGAACUUAUCUAACAUCAUCUAUACAAUGAAGAAGUUCUUCACUUGCAAGAUGGAAGAAAGUGAAGACCUCAUGGCUCAUGUCAAUAAGGUAAAGGUUCUUACAAACAAACUACCAAUUGUUGAUAAGCCUUUAGAAGAAAGUGAUAUUGUCAUGACCUUGUUGAUGACUCUUCCUGAAUCCUACAACUACCUUAUAAUGGCAUUGGAAUUCAUUAAGCUAAAAGAGCUUAUAAUGGAAUAUGUCAUAAUAAGACUUUCUCAUAAAGUAACCAAGAAGAAAGAAAAUGAGCCUCAAAGUAAAGAUUCAAUACUCUAGUCACGUCAAGGCAAGGACAACUAUUCAAAUCAACAAGGUAAUGUCAAAUCUUGCUUCAUUUGUCGCAAAGUAGGCCAUUUUGCUAGAAAUUGCUACAAAGAUAAGAAGAUAGAGAAAGAGAAUGCAAAUAGUAUGCAAGAUGAGUUUGGAGGACAAGAUUAUAUAUUCAAGGCAACAAAUGGGACCUCUAUGGAUGCCAUGUCAAGAUGGAUUGUGGAUUCAGGUUGUUUUAAGUAUAUGACAUCUUAUAAGUAUUCAGUUGACAUUUAUGAUGCUAUUUCAGCAUUAAAGGUGGUGUUGACAGAUAGUGGUACAUGUGAAGGCAUUGGAAUUGCCUCUAUUAUGAUAGAAGUGGUUGUGAAUAGAAAAACCAAUAGGAUCAGAUUCAAAAACGUCUUUCAUGUGCCUAAGAUGAAGCAAAACCUACUUUUGAUGAGUAAACUUGUAAUAGAAGGUUUUAAAGUUCAAUUCGACAUGAAUGGAUGUUUUGUAAAAAUAUUGAGUUGAAUUAAGGUCUUCAAAGGCUUUAAAGAGGGAAAUUUGUACUAUCUCAUUUAUAAGAAGGUGAAUGGAGUGGAGGUAGCUCCAUUUGUAGAGUUUACAUCAAACCAAGACAAGUUGAAAAUAUGGCAUCAUCGCCUUGGCUAUUUGAAUGUGAAGAGCAUGAGAGAGCUCAAGUCUAUGGUAAGUGGCUUAAAUCUUUGCAAUACGAGCCAAAAUAUAAAAGAACUUGUACGUAAAAAAUGCAUACAAGGCAAACAACAAAAGACCUCAUUUCCAAGUAACUUAGCAACAUAUGCUACCACGUUGCUAGAGAUUGUCCAUUCUGAUAUAUGUGGACUUAUGAAGAACACAAAUAAUGGAAGAUCAAAGUAUUUUUUGACUUUUGUUAAUGAUUAUUCAAGAAAGAUUUGAAUUUACAUUCUUAAAUCCAACAGUGAAUGCUUUUAGAGGUUUAAGGAGUUUAAAGCACUUAUUGAAAAAUAAAAUAAAUGUAAGAUCAAGAUGCUACGUACGGACAAUGGAAGUGAGUACAUGUCUAAGUAAUUUGAUAUUUAUUUGAAGAAUGAAAGAAUUUCUAGACAAACUACAACUCCGUACACUUCACAAUAAAAUAGUGUUGCUGAAAGGGCAAAUCAAACUAUUGUAGAGAUGGCAAGGAGCAUGCUUCAUGCUCAACACCUUGGUUAUGAGUUUUGGAUGGAAAUUGUGGUGAAUGCAGUGUAUACAAGAAAUUACUGUCCAACAAGUGCUCUUGUAUCAAUGACACCACAAGAAACUUGGAGUAGAAGACAACCUUGCAUUUUCCAUAUGAGGACCUUUGGUUGCAUUGCAUAUGCAAAAAUACCAAAUUAUAUGAAGUCCAAACUUGAUGCAAAAGGUACAAAGUAUGUGUUUCUUGGUUGUUGUGAAGGUACUAAGGCAUAUAGGCUAAUAUACUUAAAAAACAAGAAGGUCAUCAAAAGUCAUGAUGUUGAUUUUUUGGAGCACAAGAGUGCUUGUAAACACUUGGAGAUGUAUUCAAGUGAGAGUAAUGGUAUGUUUGUGGACACAUCUUUGAAUUCAGCAAAGAAAUAAGAAGAUGAAGACAAUAAAAUUGAUGACGAUGAAAAGACAAAGAAGGUUGAAAAGAUGAAGGCUCCUAUAAUUGCUAGAAAUAGUAAUAAAAGAAAUGAAGAUGUUGAAGAUUAUGAUGAUGAUGAUGAUGAUGAGUACCAACAUUAAGUGAGAAAUGACAAGGUUUAAGAGAGGAGGUUGAAAAAGAACAUAAAAAGCAGCAACGUAAAUCUUCUUCUAUAAAUGAAAGAAAAUAUCUUUUAAGAGAAAAAAGACAAUGUGGUGAAUGGUGGAAGGAUCACAUCUUUCCUCAAGUAGGUGAAGAACAUGCAAAUAUUGUUCUUCUUGUUGAUCAGUUAUCUUUGUAAGAUGCAUUAAAGUCCCAAGAAACAAUUAAGUGAGAGAAGGCUAUGGAAGAAGAGUAUCAAUCUAUUAUGGACAAUGAUACAUGGAAAUUGACACCCCUUUUAGCAAAUCGAUCUAGUAUUGGUUGUAAGUAGGUGUUUAGAACUAAAAAAGAUGCAAAAUGUUCCAUAUAAGGUAACAAUAGGCUCAAUCAUGUAUGCAAUGGUAGCCACAAGAGUAGACCUUGCAUAUGCAGUGAAUGUUGCAAGCCAAUACAUGUCUAAGGCUAGACCAUUGCAUUUGACAACGAUAAAGAAGCUAUUAAGGUACUUAAAAGGUACAAAAGACUUCAAAUUAUGCCUUGGUGGUAAGAACAUUGAUUUGUUAGGUUACUAUGAUGUGAAUUGGACUGUAGAUGCAAAUGAUAGAAGAUCCACAAUAAGAUUUGUCUUCUUCAUUGGAAUAGGAGCUAUUUCAUGGAAUUGCAAGAGACAACCUUCCAUUGCAAGAUCAACAUUGAAGGUAGAGUACAUGGCAGCAAGUCAUUGUGCAAUGGAGGUGUGUUAGAUAAAGCAACUCUUAGAAGACAUUAGACUAGGGCAAUUAGAAGCAACUCUCAUUAUCUAUGACAAUUAAGGAUGUCUUGCAUUUGCCAAGAAUCCAAAAUAAUAUUCAAGGCCCAAGCACAUUGAUGUUCAACAUCGUUUCAUACGAGAGAGGAUUGAAGAUGGAAUAAUAGGUAUGAAGUAUUGUACUACAAAUGACAUGCUUGUUGAUGUGCUUACAAAGGCAUUAAAGGAUAGAUAUCAUGAGUUGAUACAGAGAUUAGGAUUGAAAGCCUUUUGAAUGUUAACAAAGUGGGAGUGUUGAAGAUUAGCAAGUACUUGCUUAGUUACAACCACAUAGAGAUUAAGCAUAAUAUGUUGCUAAUAGUCAAAAGGUAGCAAAGAGUUAAAGGAAGUUACUAUGGUAGCACCUAGGGUUUGGUUGGAUGAAGUAAAAAUGGAUGUAAUAUCAAAAAGAUGGAAGUUGCCUCAUUGGUUAGCAAACCACCACCUAUAAGUAAAAGGUGUUGGAAGUAAGAAUUAUCUUACUCCAUACUUUUGUUUAUGUGCAAACCUUACUUAUGCUAAGUGUUUGUAGCUUUUAGACUUCUUUUCUUCAAUAGUUUAAAAUAUUUUUUUUUAAUCUAAAUGAUGUUUAGCAACAUUCUUUUUCCCACAAAGUAAAAAUACACUCCAUUAGAACAACCUCUUCAAAAACAUUCUUUACAAAGCUAUUUCUGUCUUAGUAAUAUUUACUAAAGAAUGUCAAAAUCAAGUACAAAGUUAGUAUUGAUAAUAAUUUAUCAUAUUUUUAAAUGUUGUUUAUUACAAUUUGUGCAAUUCAAAUUGAACAACAAAUUACAAGAUGCUUAGACACAAAAAAUUGAACAAGAAAACAAAUAAUAAACAAACAUACACAAGAUUGUACAUCUGAAAAUGUGAACUCACCACAUAUCAGAUAAAAAUAAACCUAAUUAUAACAAAGCAAGUUGAACAAAUGUUUAGAAUAACACAUAACAUAAAUGCAAUAAGAAAAGAAUGAAAACUCACAUCUCAAUAGGAACUAGAGAUGGCAUCGAUAUGGAUAAUAGUCUGAACUCUGGCUAGGAAAUUUCAACUGCACUUGAUGCUCGCUGGUGUCCAAAGAAAAAGUAUGGACGUUAACACGCAUGUACAAAAAGAAAGUAAGAAAUUGCAAAAAGUGAAAUAGGAUAAAAAGUUAACAGACAAAGCCAGUCGUGGAAAGAUAAGUGAAUGCGAGGAUAUUGUAGAGCCCUGCGAAGCGAAAGACAGGUUCGUGAGAUAAAUGUUUUGUGGCUCUUUGAGAACCACGCUUCGACAUCUUCGAACUGCGCUGCGUCUUUUGCCCACAAACCCAAAUGUGCGAACCCGUCCAGGAUCUACAGCGAAAAAGAACAAACACGAAAUACUGGAACACUGGGUCAAAAGCACGACCGAAUCCUGCCACAUUUCCACUCCUCGAUGUUUUACCUUGCAUUGCUUCAUGCACCCAUGUGCACUGAUACUUCAAGUUGCCUUUCACUACUGCCUGCUGGUUUACAGGCAAAAUUUUCUAAUCUCCCUCCUUCACAUUAUCGUGUGAAGCUGAGUUGGUGUAACGAAAGCCUUGUAGAGGAAAGCGUUUGGUGUGAACGGGUACUGUGCAAACCUGUUCUUCGUCUGUUUUGAAUCAGAAACGGCACACGUUUGGUCAUUGUACUAGAAAAUUGUUCUUAGAUUUUCUGACUGCAAACAGUACGAUCAUUUUCAACAUACUACGUUAAGCGUUCCAGUGAAAUGCAUACAUCCUUCUGCGGGUGCAAUCGCUACAUGCUGCAUUGUGUGGUUGUUGGUGUUAGCAACAUUCAUCUUGGUGACGCUGUCUACUGGUCACAAAUCCCAGCCGACUCGUUCUGUCUCUCACACAGAAUAUGCAAAGAAGAACACCGCGACAAUUUCCACAAUUCCUGAUUUGGAUCAGAGAAUAUUGCCACAAGAAGCUUGUGUUUUGAAGACAGACGCUUACAUUGUGCGGUUACGAGGUCUAGAUCUUGCUAACUGCGUCCAGUACUUUGAGGCUGGUCGCUGGUCAACGAUUAAAGGGCAAUGUUAACAGAGAGAUCAUUGAGGCUGGGAAACGCUCCAUUGCAGUGAAAUUAGUAUUAGUGAAAGUAACAAUUGUAUUUUAGUAUUAGCCAAGGCCUAAUUAACCCUAUCCCCACCCAGCUAUGUAAUGGUUACUCCCUAUUUGAAUUAUUUCCAUUUAAGUCAGAAAAAACAAUAAAAAAAUAAUAAUAAUAUAAAAGACGAACAAAAAGAAGCUAAUUGGCUAGCUAAAUUCGCUAUGCUAGGUCUCCUACUCGAAAAUCCAAUCAUCCUAACAAAGCGUCUCAAUGUCCACCCAGCAGCCAUGCAAUUCUCCAUAAGAUGGAGUUAAAGAGGCGGGAGUGCCUCGAAUCGGAACAGUACCGUAUCGACGUUGUGGCCAGUGUUCGGCGAGGUCCAUCCGAACUUACGUACUCGCCGACCCACUCUCCACCCUCGCGGAACUCCGAAUCCUUCCACCAGCUGUAAGUGGUUCCUGACCCGCAUGUAAGGCAAUCCGGCUUUGACCAGAAACUCAUUGUACGAGUCCGGAAUCUCGUCCACGGAGAUGGUCACCGACUUUUGCGCCAGUUGGAACAUUCUCACUAGCACUGCACACAUUUCCACCUCGUCAAGGUACUGGAGGGUCGAGACACACACGACGUGGUCGAACGAUGUGGUGGUGUCCAUUAUCACGUCCUGAAGGGGACCAAUCUUCACUUCCUUGUAUGUCUCCGGGAUUGGAUUCUUCUGAACCAUUUGCUCGGAUACGUCAUUGCCCACGAUCGUGCUCAGUUCUGAGCCGUCUUUGCGUUUCCUUUGAUGCUCGUGGAGCAAGCGACCGAACUUUCCCGUGCCGCUGCCCAAUUCAAACACCGUGCCGGAAUAAUCGUAGUCGGCGAUUAGAAAUUCGUAGUUCGAGGCCAUCGUUCCCAAAUAACUUUCGUAGCUCGCCGAGAAGGCGUCGAAUUCCUUGGCCACAGGGGCAACCUUGAUCUUGUGCUUUCCCAGCUGCUGCAGUCUGCUGUUGACAAUCACGUUCACAAGCGCGCGAUGACCGCCGGGAAACGUCUCGCGGAUCACGAUGUCCUCCCACUCGUGCUCCCAGCGGUAGAACACCGCCGGCCCCGGGUUGACCUCCAGGAUGAAGGGCUUACCGUCUGACGCUCGAACCCUAAUAUCCACAUUGCCCCAGCUGUUUCCUGCCAUUUGGUUGACGUGCCAGGCUCUCUCCGCCAGAUUGCGCAACAUGUCGAAGAGCGCUGGGUCUUUGCAACGCACCAGGAGCUCCUCACGCAUCUCCGGGUGGCAUUUGAUGUCGAAAGUCAUGAAAUCAGCGCCGGCGUUGAUUGCGGGGCAUCGGUAGGUAGUCGGGUUUAGCGCCACGGGCGUGUUGCCCAUCUCGAUGAGAAUGACGGAGUAAUCGCGCCCAGGUAUGUACUCUUGGACGACAAUGUCGAUAUCACUCCCGUCGAAAUGAGCAACUCCGUUGCCAUAAGCACUACCGUUAACGUGAUCACUUCCAUCGACAUGGGCGAUUCUAUUGCCGUUGACGCUCCCGUUAUCGUGAUCACUUCCGUUGACAUGGGCACUCCCGUUUCCAUCAGCGCUCCUAUUGCAAUGAUUGGCGAUGGUUGCGGCGGCUUCCUUUCGACCGGGAGCAAGAUACUCAUUGAUGCGGGCCAGCUGCUGAUCAAGUUCGCUUUGGUUCUUGCACACGGACCUUUCGUCGAUAAACAUUGACGCGCACAUCUUCGCCGGUUUCACAAACACCGGGAACUUCAUGUCAGCACCCCUUGCCGGCACUGGCAAUCCAGAUUUCUUGGCCGCGUUGUAGAAGUCGAGCUUCGAUCGUCUCAAGACCUUGCUCUGAUAACCCACAAUUGGAACUCCCAAAGACUCCAAGUAUUCAGUAGCCUCUAUACCCGCGACGGUAUCCUCGAGUUGGCCCCACAUGAAGUUGAGGAACAUGUCGAAGCCCUCGGCGACGGCAGCAUCGAUCUGGGCGUUGGCAGUGGCUUUGUUGAUGUAACGGUGAUGGAAUUCGUGUUGGGAGGUGAACAUGGCGGGGUCUGGAAAGCUGGGGUCAUUGAUGGCAAGGGCUUGGGUGGAGUCUGCGUAGGGAGCCUGGAGAACACAGAUCUUCAUGGUGAAUGGUUUGGUACUAAUUCCGCAGCUUGAUCAGAAAUCGCUGAGGAGGAAUACGCCCGUACGAAAGAAGCUGUGCUUGUUCUCGAAACCGGCAGAUGGCCAGGAAAGUCAACAGAAUGUCAUGCCUGCACAUGCAUAUUACAGUCACAUACAAGAGUAUAAAAACUCUCGAACGAACGAAAUUUGUUUUUCCAUGUAGCAGCAGUCUGGCUAGUACCGUGGGCAGAAGAAAACAUGAAAAGCACGAUGAUAACUAUUCACAUGUGAUGGGAUUUGGCCAUGGAACUAGACCAGCGUCAGAAGCUCUUACCUCAAACACCUGAAGUUAGUGCACCAAGAAUAAAGUGUACAGAAUGUCCAGGUCUGUCUUAUUUAUCUCUCCCUUACUCACGUGAACCUUGUGGAGGCCAGUCACAAGGUUUCUCUGAAUGGCUUUUUGGAAGGCACUGAGACCCUAACCUGGAAAGGUGCGCCAAGUUGUCAUAGUCCCCCCCGAAAGGGCUGUUUUUAACAGAAGCAGCGAUCAUCGUAAAGUUGCUAUUUUCGAUAUUUUCCAGUUGGCUGAUUGAGUGGAGUGAUCUACAACGGAGAGAGAAACGGAUCUGGGUUAAAACUUCGGAUCUAUUGCGACACUUUUCCAAACGGAGAAGAUUGUCCAUUCAGGAAAGUCUCGUAAAAGUACAUAUUGAUGGGGUGAAUUAGGGAAUGAUAACUUCUGCACCAAUCAUUAUUGAACUAGGUUGAACUCUUUAUCAAUUUCUUUCAACAAAAACGGACAAAUCUUGAAGGGUAUAUAUUAUUAUAUUCUUAUAUCUUAUCAAGACAGAGUAGAUCAAGUUACUCUCUAUCACUAUCAAUAACAAAUGACCUUAUUCUCUAGAUAAAUCUAGUACAAGUGUUACGUCUCCUAUUCCAUAAUAGUACAUAAUAUUGUCAUAUAGGAAGGACUUAACUUGAAACUUUAAUUUAAAAUAAUAAGUUUGUGCAAAGUAAAAAAAUCAGAAAUUAGAAACAAAAGUUGAAUAGAUUGGAAUAUGUUGUAAGAACUAAAUUUUUAUUAAUGAUGUAUCAAAAGAUUUAGAAGCAAUAAAAUAAGAAUGAUUGAAAAAAUGAAUUGAUGAAAAUGAAGAUGAAUUUAUUGCUGCCCUUGUAAAAUAAAAAUAGAAUAAAGAUCCACAAUAUCUUGAAAUAUAUAAAUAUAUUUAUGUACAUAUACAUACAUAAGUCUUAUAAAAUAUGUAUUAAUUUAUUAGAAUAAAAAAUGAUUGAAAUAUUAAUAUAUAUAUAUAUAUAUAUAUAUAUAUGAUAAUUUUAUUAACGUUAAUUAUUUUUAUUGGUUCAUAAUGUUUAUUACUCAAGAUUUAUUAUUUUUUUUUCAAGUAAUUUUUUAUAUAUUUUUUUUAAUCUAAAUGUUGUUUAGUAACAUUUUUUUUUCAACCAAGGACAAACACAUUUUCAUAGAUAAAUAUAUUUAAUUUAAUAUUUUUAUUUUUGAUUAAAUUGAAGUAGAUAAAAGUAGAUUUAUUUCAUAUACCUUUUAGGCAAGCUUCUUAGAAGCUUUAUAAACAUUGCUUUAACUUUACAUGUAUUUGUAAUUGAUUGAUAGGUUAGAAACUUGGUCAUUAAAUUAACCAUGUGUUGAUAGCUUAGAAAACAAGCUAAUUUAUGUUGCUAAAUUCAAACCUUGCUUGUAAUAAGGACUAGAAUGACAAAGCUCUUAUCAAUCAAUUUUGAUAUUCAUGAAGGAUAAUGUCAACGAUUUGCUAUUGACAAUGUCUAAGGCAAAAUCUUUGAAAUAAUUAACCACUUUAGCUAUUAUAUAUGACAAUCGAUUAUUUGAAAGAUGUCAAGAAUAAAGAUUUUGUUAGAAAAGAACAAGUUAAAUAAUGACUACACUUCUAAAGUUUUCAAAAACUUAUUUAUCAAGGCUAAGCCAAUGCAAAUCGAUAUAAUACGUUUUAAAUCUCCUAUAGAAUUGAAAAAGACUUAACAAUAUGAUAAAGACUUAUAUUAUGGAGAAGCUAAAUACACUACUUAAUAGUGUCUAAAGAAACAACUCAACUACGAAAUGAAAAGCAUGGUUGCUAAAAAAGACAAUGUGUCGAGAAACAAGUUUUUUCAGCUACAAUAAAAACCGUGUGACUAGAAUCUUGCUUAACUUCUAAUAAAGGUCAUAUUCUCUCCUCAAUCUCCUCACCUUGUUUUACAAUAAAAGUUUAUUUAGGAUAAAAAAAUCACAAAAUCAUAGCUUUGUUAGAUUUAAGAGCCUUAACUUAUUUUAUAUACAAAAAUUUUGUCAAAAAAUAAGAAAUAUUAUUAGUCAAGAAAAUUAAAUCCGUAUAUGUAGAGGUCACAAAUGGUCAUUUUUUUAUCUUUUAGAGAUGUUACACAUGAGACAAUUCCUUUACAUGUAGUAAUUAAAGAUUAUAAAAGUAUAAUAAUAUUAAAUAUAAUAAUAUUUUUCUUUAAUUUGGUUAUUUUAGUAUUAUCUUAAUUAAAAAAGUAUAAUCCUCAAAUAGAUUAUAUUUUUCAUAACUUUAUUUUUUUGGAUAAUUUAAUCUAAAAUUCCAUUAGUCAAAUAAAAAUACAUAAGUAUAAUACACUCAAAUCUAUCACGGAUGUACAAAUUUACCCUGAUAAUUAUUUAGAUAAUAAAAAUAAGUCAAUGUAAGUAAAAGUAGAUAAAUAGGAUAAUUUCUUGUGGAAAGCUUCCUAGAAGCUUCAUAGACACUGCUUUGUAUUUAUAUAUGUCUAUCAGUAAUUGAUAGGUUGAAACUUGGUGAAUAAUGAUGCGACAUGUCGACAUUUUGACUACUUGUAUAUUUUGACUACUUGUAUAUAGUACAAGUUGGAUAUAUGGGGCACACCUAAGAAACUUGUCUUAUAAAUUAGACAUGUAUCUUGCAAGUUGGACACAUAUUAGAGGUCCUAUAGUAUGUUGUCACGUAGUUCUUACUUAAGUAGUAUAUAUAGAGGCAAGAGUAAGGCCUUCUUUACUCUUGUCGGCUCUUUUCUUAUUUUUAGUCUAGUUUCAAGAGUCUUAUGUUUUCUAGUCUUUGACAAUAGCCAUUCUAGUUCUUCCUUGAAUAUACAUACUUUCUUCUAUUUUGUCAUUUUUCUUUUGACACAAAUUCCACGAGUUUAUGCAUCUUUUUCUAGUUUGUGUCCUUGACAGAUUGAUAAGAGUAUACAUACAAUAUCAAAGCUUUGUCCUUUCUUGAUUAAGAGUGGUUUACUGCUUUGUCUUAAUAAGACAUAAGCAUAUUAGAAGUUACGGAUUACCUUCUUUUAAAUUGAUAUUACUUCUAAAAAUUCCUUUUCUUAAUUCUUAAAUAUUGUAUUCUGUGAAAAUAGACACCUUUCUUUGUAUUAUGCUAGUAUGGCAAAGCUUACUGAAAUGAAGAGUAUAAUGGCUCAAAUGCAAGAGCAAAUGAGAGAGUUAAUGCUUGCAAUAUAUUAACUCAAUCUACCACCACAAGGAGCAACAAGAUUAUCAAAGAAUGAAGAUAUAGAAAUGAUUGGAGUUGCAUCAACAUCUACACCAAGCCAUACUACUAUUCCUACAAUGGAACAUCGUUCAAGUUUCAAGAAACCAAAAAUUGUAUUGCUUGAGAAGUUUGAUCAUACAAGAUCUAAGUUUCAAAGAUUUAUCAAUCAAGUACAACUGGUGAUUUAACUACAACUUCAAAGUUAUUCAAUUCAAGGAUCACAAGUCAGGUUUAUUAAUAGACUACUUUUAGGUUUUACUUUAUCAUGGUUUUUAUCAUUUCUUAAAUGACAUGAUCAAAUAUUGGAUAAUUUGAAAGCAUUCUUGGCAAAGUUUUGAUCUUUGUAUGGAAAAUAUGAUGCAAUCCAUGUUACAACCAACAAGAUUUAUAUCUUGCAAUAAGACAAUUCAUUAGUGAUAUUGUAUGCAUCACAAUUUUAACAAUUGGCAACAAAUAUCUAGUGGGAUGAUGUAACACUCAUCAGCCAAUUUUUCUAUGCAUUACAAGAUGAAGUAAAUAAAUUGAUGUUUAAUUUACUUGAUCCUCAAACAUUGAGUAAGUAAUUGACUUUGCUGUGAAAUGUGAUAAUCAACUUCUUGAGUUUUGAUGUAAAAAUUACACAAAGGAACUUCAACGUUAUUAUAAUUCAAUGACAAUACCAACAACUUUUCAAUCUAAACAUUUGGAAGUAGAAGAUAGGUAAAUUGAUGGAGUACAUUUUAAACCUCUCAUUGAAUAAGAAAAGAUUCAUUGUCAUCAAGAAGGACUAUGUUUAUAUUGUGGAGAAGCUAAGCACACUCCUCAAUAUUAUCCAAAGAAACGAUAUAACUACAAAAUGAGGAGUACUAUUGUCAAAGAUGAAAACAUGUGAAAAAAUAAAUUUGUCCAGAUACAAUAGGAAUUGUGCGAUUGGAAUCUUAUACCAUUUCUAAUUAAGGUCAUAUUCUCUCCUCGGAACCCUCUCCUUAUAUUAUAAUAGAUAUGUGUUUAGGAUCUAAUAAUCACAAAGCCUCUGCCUUAAUAGAUUUAGAAGCCUCAAAUUAUUUUUUAGAUGAAGAAUUUAUUAAAAGUCAUACUAUAUAAUUAAUACAAAAAAUUAAAUCCCUACACAUAGAAGUCAUAAACGAUUGUCCGUUAUCUUCUAAAGAUAUUACUCAUGAAACACUUCCAAUACAUGUAGUAAUAAAUGGUCAUAAUAGUUGCAUAAUUUUUAAUAUAAUUAGAUCUCCCUUUAAUCUAGUCAUUUUAGUUUUAUCAUGGCUAAAAAAAUAUAAUCUUGUAAUAGAUUGGAUUUCUUGUAAACUUGACUUUUCUUCAAACAUCAUUAAGAGUUUUUCUAAUCUAGUAGAAAGCCAUGAGUCUAAUGUAGCCAAACCUAUACUUGUAGAUGCAAAAGCUUUUUUGCAUGCUAUAAAAAAGGAUUGUCUUUUUUUAUUUGUGCUACACCUAUUUUAAAUGAUGGAAAGAUUUGAAGUGAAAUUCCUAGUCAAUAUCAAUACUUUUAAGAUGUUUUUGAAAAAAAGAAUGCAAAUAUUUUUCCAAAGCAUCAUCCAUAUGAUUUUUCAAUCGAUCUUAAAGAAGGAACUUAGCCACUAUUUGGUCCAAUCUAUAGUUUAUCACAAAAUGAGUUGGCUAAACUCAAGAAGUACAUUGAUGAGCACUUGGCCAAAAAUUCAACUAUCACUAAGAUGAUUGGAAAAUUCUUUUGCCAUUGGCAAAGUUUGCUUAUAAUAAUUUGGUACAUUUUUCUACUCAACAAACACCUUUUUUUGCCAAUUAUGAUUAUCAUCCAGGAUUUGAUACUUUUAACUUUUCAAAGGUUGAUAAUCCUAUGGCGGAAGAUGUGGCAAAUCUAUUGUCAGAGCUACAUGUAACAAUGAAGGCAUAAUUAAAAGAAGCUUAAGAAUGACAAAAAGAUAACAUAGAUGUUUAUUAUAAGGAACAAUCUCAAUUCUAUAUAGAAAAUAAUAUAUGGUUACUUCAUAAUAUUAAAACUAUUUUUCCUUGUGACAAGCUAGAUUAUCAUAGACUUGGACCAUUUCAUAUUUAUGAAUAAAUCAAUCUAGUUGCUUAUCAAUUAUACCUAUCAGAGUUUGAAAAUC
rnacentral:lncRNA from 1 species